CUAUGUCGGCGACCGGCGCACGGGUGCGUAACGCGUAUGCAACCUACCCAUUACAGGGGGAUAACACUGAGAAAUCGGUACUAAUACCCCAUAACAUCCAGGGAGGCAUCUUCUUUGGGUUGAAAACUCCGGUGGUAAUGGAUGGGCAUGCGUUGUAUUAGUUAGUUGGUGGGGUAACGGCUCACCAAGACAACGAUACAUAGGGGGACUGAGAGGUUAACCCCCCACAUUGGUACUGAGACACGGACCAAACUCCUACGGAAGGCAGCAG
rnacentral:rRNA from 1 species